CUUGGUCAUUUAGAGGAAGUAAAAGUCGUAACAAGGUCUCCGUUGGUGAACCAGCGGAGGGAUCAUUACCGAGUUUACAACUCCCAAACCCCUGUGAACAUACCUUAAUGUUGCCUCGGCGGAUCAGCCCGCGCCCCGUAAAACGGGACGGCCCGCCAGAGGACCCAAACUCUAAUGUUUCUUAUUGUAACUUCUGAGUAAAACAAACAAAUAAAUCAAAACUUUCAACAACGGAUCUCUUGGUUCUGGCAUCGAUGAAGAACGCAGCAAAAUGCGAUAAGUAAUGUGAAUUGCAGAAUUCAGUGAAUCAUCGAAUCUUUGAACGCACAUUGCGCCCGCUGGUAUUCCGGCGGGCAUGCCUGUUCGGGCGUCAUUUCAACCCUCAAGCCCCCGGGUUUGGUGUUGGGGAUCGGCUCUGCCUCACGGCGGUGCCGCCCCCGAAAUACAUUGGCGGUCUCGCUGCAGCCUCCAUUGCGUAGUAGCUAACACCUCGCAACUGGAACGCGGCGCGGCCAUGCCGUAAAACCCCAACUUCCGAAUGUUGACCUCGGAUCAGGUAGGAAUACCCGCUGAACUUAAGCAUAUCAAUAAGCGGAGGA
rnacentral:rRNA from 1 species